GAUUACUUCACAUCUUGGUUUGCAUGCUCCCUGGGAGCAAAUGAACCUUCGCUGUCUCUGACAAGAUGGUCCUCUUGAGUGAUUUCUGUGGAGUAUGAAGCCAGUUCCUGAAAACAGGCCAUUCCCCACCUGUUGCAUCUAAAUUCUCUGAGGUGUAGUCAUCACAUGUAGUGACAGUAAUCAUGGAGGAACGCUGUGAGGCUUCUGUCUAGGGUGGCUUCUGAUCUGGGAGACAGCUCAUGAGUGACAAAGAGAAAAGAAUUUUUGAAACCCUGAUGAGCAUAAGGAUUUAUUUCAACUUGUUCAUAGGAGACUAUGACUUAAAUUCUCCAUGUAAGCAUGAACACGUGCAUCAGCACACAAUUCUACAGGAUUUCCAUGAUUUCCUGCCUUUUCCUACUUUUUGCCACAUUUUCUUUCUCUUGAUCUCCCACUGAGAGACUGAACCAAUGGGAGAGUCAUGAGCAAGCCUACUGGUACAUGUGAGGAACUGUGAGAAAAACUUUUGGCAGGAGAAAAAAAUAAUUUGAAUAAGUUUGAGAUGUUUGUGUGAAAGGAUGGAAAGAUCUUUAUGUGUU
rnacentral:lncRNA from 1 species